UAGAUACCCUGGUAGUCCAUGCCGUAAACGUUGGGAACUAGAUGUAGGGGCCAUUCCACGGUUUCUGUGUCGCAGCUAACGCAUUAAGUUCCCCGCCUGGGGAGUACGGCCGCAAGGCUAAAACUCAAAGGAAUUGACGGGGGCCCGCACAAGCGGCGGAGCAUGCGGAUUAAUUCGAUGCAACGCGAAGAACCUUACCAAGGCUUGACAUAUACGAGAACGGGCUAGAAAUAGUCAACUCUUUGGACAC
rnacentral:rRNA from 1 species